AUUGUGAACCCGGGAAAACAAUCGGUUGGUUCUAGUCGGUGAGCCUGUGAAAACCGACCGAGUUCGUUGUGAUCUCGCAAAACAACAAGUUGGGUUGUGAGCUUGUAAAACAACCGGCUGUAAUCUGAGGGAUUAUAAUGAAAUUCCCAAGAGGUCUUGGGGAGUGGAUGUAGGUGCUGGGGUGCACCGAACCACUAUACAUCUUUGUGUUUGUGAUGCCUUAUCUCUUGUAUUUCAUGCCUUACAUUCAUUCUUGAUUGUGUAAUAUCUCUAGCAUUGUUUUCUAUAGAGUUAUAAGUGAUUGUUUAGAAUUUGCUUAGCUUCCUCUCCAUUCUUACCAUACACAUAGAUUAAAAUUGAUCAUACAACUAUAAGUUAAUUUUAGAUCAAUUGCACCCUAAGGCCAUAGUAUAAUUGCUCUAGCUUAAUUUUCCACUACUUUACUUGUAAUUGCCUAGAGCUUAAGUAAAUAACAUCUUAUCAUUCCGCUGCAUUCAAUUCAAAGUAAAAAUUAGGGAACAUAAUUUUUAGAAAACUCAAUUCACCCCCCUCUUGGGUUGUCACCUUGGGCAACACAUGGCUACCUAUAAAACUUAACAUAAUAACAAUAUAUGUUAUUACUUCUAUUAUGUUCUAGUUAUGAUGUUAAAAUGAAUUCUUCAAACCAAGGUUCCCAGAAUCAAUAUCGGGACCCAUGUCGAUCGAUGACCGGCAUGGUACGGUAUAGAUCUUGAACUAAAGUCAACAAAGGAUGUGUCGACUUCAAUU
rnacentral:lncRNA from 1 species